rnacentral:rRNA from 1 species
UACGGAGGGGGCUAGCGUUGUUCGGAAUUAUUGGGCGUAAAGCGCACGUAGGCGGUCUGUCACGUCGGCUGUGAAAUCCCGAGGCUCAACCUCGGGUCUGCAGUCGAUACGGGCAAACUAGAGUAUUGCAGGGGGAGACUGGAAUUCCUGGUGUAGCGGUGAAAUGCGCAGAUAUCAGGAGGAACACCGGUGGCGAAGGCGGGUCUGCUGGGCAAUAACUGACGCUGAGGAGCGAAAGGCGUGGGGAGCGAACAGG